GCAUCGCCACGUACUUCAUCUUCACUGCGUAAGGCUUCUCGAUGCAGACUGCACUCAUCAUCGCG
rnacentral:snoRNA from 1 species